CAGAGUCUUUUCUUUCUCGCGUUCUUCUCUCCCAAACUGAAAACCUAACAAGAGUUCUUCUUCUUCCACCGCUGACCCAAGAGAGAGGAGUCAGCAUUCUCUCCUUCAAGAACUCUUUCAAACCUAACGACCCAGAUUCUGUCUCCACUGUCAAGUGGAUCUCUGUCACUGACCUGUGACUGUUGCUGUGAGAAAAUUGCAGAGAAUGCUAUUAACCUUCCCUAAAGUACUCUUGGUUGCAAGUAGAGCUGCCACUGCUGUUAGAGUUACUAUUGUCAAAGCUAUUCAUAACCAGAUGGAUAGGAAAUAUUGCAAUACAAAUGUCUAAGAGAUUGCCUUUGUUUGAAAGUGUAAUUUUUAGUAUUUUAAUGAUGUCACCCCAAUGAGCAAAAGCUCAUUGGAGAGAGAGAGAGAGAGAGAUUAGGUUAGAGGUUUUGUCAAACACAAUAUAACUUGUUAUUAUCUUUGUUCCUCUUUAUUUUCCCCACAUUAUCAA